rnacentral:lncRNA from 1 species
ACGGUCGUCGGGUCUGCACGCCCCGAGUCGGGAGGGGCGAGGGGCGGUGCAGGGUCCCAGCGUGGGGCCUCCCCACCUGCCCACCAGGGAGACCUCGGGUGCCUGGCCGGGUGGGGCUCGGGGUCGGUCCAGUUGGCGGACGCGGCCGGAAGGCCCCCGCAGGCCGCCUCGCCGGAGGAGUCCCUGUCGCCGUAGAAUCCAGGCUCGCGGUCUCUCCCCACGGUUCAUCCAGGGCCUCGUCGUUGCCCCAUUUACGCGGCGUGCCUGAAUGCCUGUGUGUGCACAUGCGCCUGUGUACGUGUGCAUGUGUUCGUGUGUGUGCAUGUCUGCGUGUGCAUGUGUGCCUCUGCAGAUAUCUGCACAUGUAUGUGUCUGCGUGUGCAUGUGUCCCUCUGCAGGUGUCUGCACAUCUAUGUGUCUGCGUGUGCAUGUGUCCCUCUGCAGGUGUCUGCACAUGUAUGUGCGUGUGCAUGUGUCCCUCUGCAGAUGUCUGCACAUCUGUGUGUCUGCGUGUGCAUGUGUGCCUCUGCAGGUGUCUGCACAUGUAUGUGCGUGUGCAUGUGUGCCUUUGCAGGCAUCUUUGCAUGUGUGUGUCUGCGUGUGCUGCUUCUAUGCAUGCGCUCCUAUGUGUGCGUGCGCUUGUUUGUGCAUCCAUGCAUGUGUUUGCGUGCGUGCUGGAGGAGAGCAUUGGGUGGGACCCUCCAGCCUUUUGGCUUCUCCUCUGCUCUAGAGAGCAAGGGUUGCCAGGCCGAGGUCUGCCCUUCGCUCUGAGGGUCUCACCAGGUGCACAUUGGUUUAUUUGGUGCAGAAUUCAGGCAGCAGGCAAAGGGCGAGCUCCGUCCAAGAAGAAGGAUAAUGCCCCCACUACUUCAUCCCCUCCACCCUGCGUUGUGUAGGGAACUGCUCUAGACCCCAUUAGAAGUUUUUUGUGGGGGAGGAACAGAAGAGGGAGCGGAAGAAGAAUUACAAAAGAGACUGAAGUCAAGAU